CAGACUAUAAUUUAUACAAAAUAUUAGCUUUGGAAGCUAAAAAUCAGUCACCCUGUAGUCUGA
rnacentral:tRNA from 1 species